GGCUGUUCCACUGGAACCCGCAGGUGGAAGAGACUGAACCGGGCCCGCUGUAAAUCUGCCGGCUCAGCCUUCCCAGGUUCGAAUCCUGGCGCCGCCA
rnacentral:tRNA from 1 species